rnacentral:rRNA from 1 species
CACGGAUCUCUUGGUUCUGGCAUCGAUGAAGAACGCAGCGAAAUGCGAUAAGUAAUGUGAAUUGCAGAAUUCAGUGAAUCAUCGAAUCUUUGAACGCACAUUGCGCCCGCCAGCAUUCUGGCGGGCAUGCCUGUUCGAGCGUCAUUUCAACCCUCGACUUCCCUUUGGGGAAAUCGGCGUUGGGGACCGGCCGUAUACCGCCGGCCCCGAAAUGAAGUGGCGGCCCGUCCGCGGCGACCUCUGCGUAGUAAUCCAACUCGCACCGGAACCCCGACGUGGCCACGCCGUAAAACCCCCGACUUCUGAACGUUGACCUCGGAUCAGGUAGGAAUACCCGCUGAACUUAAG